rnacentral:lncRNA from 1 species
GCCAUCUUGGACUUUCUGGAACCAGCUCCGCAUUCCGGGUCUCAGGGACGGUUUCAGGGCUCGUGCCUGUCUGUCGGGGGGAAGUCUCACGACCUAGAAACGGGUCUGCGAGGGGCCCAAUGUGGCCGUAAGGAGCCCACUUUCUGGGAGCCGCGGAGAGCCCCCUCUCACGUCUUGUGCCACGCAGACUCAUCAAUUGAAAAUCCUGAAACUGCGCUGGGGUCUAGACGUGGCCCAAAUUCACGUUGGAAGUUACUCUGCCUGGCUUCCGGGUGCCAAGGAGCUUCUGGGCGUUUCGUCAGCCACCCUGCUGCUGGUGGAGCCUGUGGCGCCUCUCAACACAGCCUGGGGCUGGGGGCGAAGGGGCCUGGGAUGGGGCCGGCAGCCGCCUCUCCGCUCUUCCUCCAGGCGCUGAAUGCAAGUGAAGAGAAAACAUUUCCGUGUAAGCCCCUGUCAUCCUCAUACUGAGCAGAUUGAAGCCCCGAGGUGUUUUUCCAACUCUGUUUUCAACUGCAGUACACCUGAAUGUUUUAAUCAGGAGACUGUGGAGGGCCAAGGACAGGGAAGUUUUCGCCGUUGACCUCCCUCUGCUUUUGGGCCCCGCUCCCUGAGUGGGCAGGGGAGCCGCGUCUCCUCCGGCUCAGGGAGCACGCACAGUCAUUUCCCACCUGGCCUGCCAGCCCACGGAGCUCCUUCUCGCUUUUCUUCUUCAGACCAAUAUAGCCCUCCUGGGUUGAGAAGGAAGCACCAGAUGGCCAGAAAAAAAUGGUCAUUCUGCAAAGAUUCUGCCUGAGAAGAAAGCAGUCAAAGCUAGACGCCCCCCAUUCUGCAUCCGAUGAAGGAGCCACAGUAGGCUUAGCUGGGGCUGCAUCUCUUUCCUCCUCUGUCGGGGUUCAGACCUCUGAUGCUGCUUGGGCUGCCUGACAGUGGUUACCUGUAAGGGGCGUAGGAGAAUUCCUUCCAGGGAGGGAGCCAGGCGGUGAGCCAAGCCAGGAGGAAGAUGUUAGGCAUCGCAGGCCAGAGGUGAUUCUGACUUCAGCCCGGGAGAGUCUGUCCUCAGCCUGGGCUCUUGGACACAUCAUCUGGGCCACAGAGAGAGGAAGGGC